UCAGAAACCCUAGUAUGCUUCCUAUAAAUUAAGAACGCGAGAUCCAUCCUUAACAGUCACAGCAACAUUCUGCAUCUGGGCAACCGGCGACGCUACCUUAUCGCGUUACAUUUUCUUUCCGUUCUGUUUCUUAUUAACGUCUUAGCUAUGGAUCGUAUAAGAUCACGGUGAUGACUCCAUAAAAUUCAAGCUCAACAGACCGGAAUGCAGAGCUUUCUCUCUUUGUGGAGAUUGCCAUGCGUGUCGAUUACCCCGCUGAACUGAGUGAUCUCUUCCAUUUUUAGUUUUCUUAUUUCUUUGAUUAUUACUCGCUUCGUUGAAAUGUUUGUUUUUCUGUUGUUUUUUUUUCAAUGUUGCAAUUGUUAGUAUGUUUUGUGUGUGGGGAAAGAGUCAUCGCAAUGAGGAUACAAAAGCUCCCUCUUCUGAUUUAGAGUUGAGGAAAAUUGCUGGCAGAAUCGAACCAUAAAAUCUUAGUCAUCACUGAGUGAUCUCUUUCCCCCUUAAAUUUUGCCUUUUUCUCUUAUACUGAUCAUCAUUGUACCUAUUUUUUUUUCUCUUAAUCUAAUUCGGUUUAUGAAUUAUUAUUACGUUCUGUUUUGAUACCGUUGAGGUCAGUGAUGAAUUCAAUUUGCCUACAUUGGCUGAGUGAGUAUCUGGUUUUAUUAUUUUAUGAUGUGUCUUGUCAGUCUGAGACCACUGAAUGUGUAUUUUGAUUUUUGCGAAACACAAAUGGAUUUUUAAUUUUGGA